rnacentral:rRNA from 1 species
UGGGGAAUAUUGGACAAUGGGGGGAACCCUGAUCCAGCCAUGCCGCGUGCGGGAAGAAGGCCUUCGGGUUGUAAACCGCUUUUGUCAGGGAAGAAACGCUCUGGGCUAAUACCCUGGGGUAAUGACGGUACCUGAAGAAUAAGCACCGGCUAACUACGUGCCAGCAGCCGCGGUAAUACGUAGGGUGCAAGCGUUAAUCGGAAUUACUGGGCGUAAAGCGUGCGCAGGCGGUUAUGCAAGACAGAUGUGAAAUCCCCGGGCUCAACCUGGGAACUGCAUUUGUGACUGUAUAGCUAGAGUACGGUAGAGGGGGAUGGAAUUCCGCGUGUAGCAGUGAAAUGCGUAGAUAUGCGGAGGAACACCGAUGGCGAAGGCAAUCCCCUGGACCUGUACUGACGCUCAUGCACGAAAGCGUGGGGAGCAAACAGGAUUAGAUACCCUAGUAGUCCCUGAGCGGGCUGGCAAGGCGCAU